rnacentral:tRNA from 1 species
UGCCGCCUCGUUCAACGGCAGGACGCGAGCCUUUGACGCUCGCUAUCGUGGUUCGAAUCCACGGGCGGCAGCCA